rnacentral:lncRNA from 1 species
UGUCAAACUGAAAUGUAGCCGGAAAAAUCUGACAUCAAGAAAGAUCUACUGUCAGGUUGUGGUUGCUGAACUUUGUAGUCUGGUGAUGCUUUGAAGUCUUCUACUGAAAUGUGCUCUUCCCUGUGAAAGAAAACAUUACUAAACUGAAGGCUGCUUUGAAUUGGGAUGAAGGCUGACAGAAGCACGUCAGAUGACCUAAGAAGGACAUGUGGAUCUCCGAGAAGUUGCUCUCAGUCUCAAAGUUUUGUAAGCUCUUCUGACCUCUGGAAUUUUAAGCGCAUCACUUCUCUACAGCAGCAGCAAGAGGGAGAGCUGGGAUUUGCAGGCGGAUGA